rnacentral:lncRNA from 1 species
UUUUAAAUAAUUAGUUCUGAAAUUGAUUUUAUUAUUCUACAAAAUAUCAUACAAGGAUAUCGCCAAGUUUCAUAGCAAUCGAAAUAAGUAUUGGAAAGGAUUUACUUUUAUAGAUAUUAAUAUCAAUAUAUUGAGUGGUAUAUACCUCAACAUAAUUAAAUUUUCCUUCUUCUCUUGAUAAUGAAAAUACUCUCGGAAUACAUUAGGAAGCUCGACUAAAGUCCCAUUAAGAAGAUCCAACUAUGCUUAUUGGUGCCCUCACUUGGAAUGAAGCUACUACUAUAUCAAAGAAUUAAAAACUUGCAGUGGUCAAAAAGUUGUUAAUACAAAGCAAAAAACAUGAUAUGUUGGAUUUUUGAUUGCAAUUCAGAGUUUUAUAUACUUAUAUAAUUCUCUUAUAGAAACAAAUUAUCAAAAAUAUAUUCUAACACACAAAUUCAGUCAAGAUCACUUGGAACUUCUCUUCUUUGCAAUUCGCUCUGCCAACGGGCAUAAUAAUAAUCCUUUGGUCAGACAGUUUUCCUCCGCUUAUAAAAGAUUGAUUAUUAUUAUUUAACAUGAGAUUAAAGCAGGAACGAGUGAAAUUACUUAAGUCAAGAUAACACCACCUUUCUAUCUUCCCUGGGAAACAAAGGAAGAUGCCAGAUAAAUAUGGAUAGCAACCAUAUGGAAUUUAUUCCAAUUUCGGACUAUAAAAGACGUACAUAGCCAGAUUUGAAUUGAAAAAAUUGGAAAAAAACAAUCUUUUGUGAAAAAUGCAUUGAAUCUUUGUGGUGUCUUGUCAACGAAUUCAGGGUCGAUUAUGCCUUGAUAAAACAAAAAGAUUGGGGAGGAUCGCAUCAAACAGCACUAACCUAAGGAUGUAAUUGAAGUUUGUCUAGAAGCUGAAAAGAUGUUUGAAAGACUUUAAAAUUCUACAAAACAGGCUUUGCCGAGAGAUUCCAGCCUGACUCUUAAAAUAAGCAUUGGUGGUUUGAAAAAUGUUGGCGUAGUAAAAAUUUGGUCUUUUAAUGCUUUUGUGAUCAUAUAUUUGAUUCAUUUCCAGAAUCUAAUCAUGUAUUUUCCCUUAUAAAAGCAAUUUCUCGAUACUAUGCAAGUAUAAAACUGCAUCACUUGGGAAAACUAGAAACUGAGACUGUAGAAGGAACCAAGUUUUGUAGUGUCCUUACGAAUCUUAUACAGUUUAAGAAUCAAUAAUAUGUUGAAAGGCUUAAUUUUAUUAGUAUAUAAUAUUUUUUAGAAUAAAUGAUACUUAAUUUAUUAGAUGUUUAUUUAUCUUCAAUAUUCUAAAACAUUUCUUAUUAAAAUUAGUAUGUACUAGAACAAACGAGAAUAUUACGAAUUUAUAAGAAAAAAUCAA